AGUAUAAUGGCUUGGUCAUUUGGUAAGUGUGUGUUUUAUGAGGAAUUCCAAACUACUUUUUAGAGUGGCUGUACCAUUUUGCACUCCCACAUGCAU
rnacentral:pre_miRNA from 1 species